AGAGUUUGAUCCUGGCUCAGAUUGAACGCUGGCGGCAUGCCUUACACAUGCAAGUCGAACGGUAACAGGUCUUCGGACGCUGACGAGUGGCGAACGGGUGAGUAAUAUAUCGGAACGUACCAUUCAGUGGGGGAUAACGUAGCGAAAGUUACGCUAAUACCGCAUAUUCUCUCCGGAGGAAAGCAGGGGCUCGCAAGACCUUGCGCUGAUUGAGCGGCCGAUAUCAGAUUAGCUAGUUGGUGAGGUAACGGCCCACCAAGGCGACGAUCUGUAGCGGGUCUGAGAGGAUGAUCCGCCACACUGGAACUGAGACACGGUCCAGACUCCUACGGGAGGCAGCAGUGGGGAAUUUUGGACAAUGGGCGCAAGCCUGAUCCAGCCAUGCCGCGUGAGUGAAGAAGGCCUUCGGGUUGUAAAGCUCUUUCAGCCGGGAAGAAAACGCAUGGGUUAAUACCCUGUGCGGAUGACGGUACCGGAAUAAGAAGCACCGGCUAACUACGUGCCAGCAGCCGCGGUAA
rnacentral:rRNA from 1 species